UGGCUUAUACUCCCGCAGCGCGCGGCGGGGGUUGGCAGAACGGCCAGGGCAUAGACUCAGUGGGUGAAUAAGGGUCUUAAAGCCUCGUCGUUUCGGGGUUCAGCUGAAUUUUGGGAACCAGGUGCUUGCACCAGCUGGGUCAAAUAUUAAAAGAUGGGUGCACUAAAGUCAAGGGGAUUGAUGCUGAUGCAUUCAUUACUAAUGCUCAUUAGAUUUUCCACCAGACCCUUGUCAAUAAGUUAAGAGAUGUGAUCAACAAGGGGUGGCUGAUCAAAGAGUGGGAAGAAAAUUAAGGGGGUUUACAGGCAGAGGGAACAAUAUGUGGAAGCUCUGAGGCAGAACAACGGUUGCUGUGCUUUAGAAACUGAAAAGACAUCGGGCUAGAUGAAGUAGAGCUUGACAAACCUUAACUAUAGCUCAGCUUGUUCAACUCCCAAAUGAAGGUGAAGACACAGAGCCCUUAUCCAAGGGUGAGGCAGAAUGUCCACUGGAUUUCAGUCCUAACUGAUUGCAUUUGGAAAUCGAAUUUUGGCUGUUUCUUGAGUAGGGGACUUGGACAAGCUGCUGAACCUUGGAACUUCCUUUCCUUAUCUGGAAAUGGGAAAAUCAAAAAGGUCAUCAAAAGAGAAGUACCAACAAGGGCCAAUGGAAAGAUCGCAGGGGACAUGUGUUCAACCUGAAAGUGAGGAGCCGGAGAGACAGACGGACCUAUGGGCCAAGGCCUUUACAGGGAUCCGGGGUGUUAUCCAAGGAACUUUCCUGUGGAGAGUUCUAAUUCAUGGGUUUAA